AUGGGGCAGAGUCCAGCUUGGCUUGGCCUUCGGGGAGGGACAGAGUUGGCAGGCACAGGCAGAGAGGGGCAGGAAGCUGUUUAUUCCUCGUUCCUGGAACAGGAUCGGAUACCCUCACUGAAGAGAAGAAGCUUGGAGAAACCCAUCCUGUCCUGUUUUGAAGUUCUUCUGAGAUUCUGUGGCAGACACACUGACCUCUGGAUGCUCCUCCUGUUCUUGUACACUCUGGCAUGGACCUACACACAGAGGCUCAGAGACCAUCCAAGCCUGGUAGAGCACAGGAUGCCAUUUCUCAGCCAGGAAGAAGUUUUCUCUUUUACUAACUUAGAAAACUCACAAAGGCCCAUUCAAGGUUCUUAUAGCCACUCUUCUAGAGCUUCUGGCUUCCUCUGGAGAUGCAAUUGGAAUCACAGUAGGCUCCUACUCUGCUCAUCUCCUGCUUCUGGUCUCUGCUUAGCCAAAGAGCGCACGGUCCCUACUUCCAGGAGCAGAGAGAAGACAAUUCAGGUGGAUCAACACAAGCUUUUAUGUGACCUCUAUUUUCCUGGGCCCAGUCCUAAAGAGAGAAUUUUACCAUUCCUACCCUAUAUUUUGACCCUUGUCUAUUUUCCUUCUGAUUUUUGUGAUCUUAUUUUGUUUUGAGUGUUUGAGGUGGUAUCUCACAUUGUUGACCAGGCUGACAUUGAACUCACAGGCUCAAGUGACUGUCUUGCCUCAGCCCCUGAGCAGUUGGUACUACAGGCAGGUGCCUAGCUCUGCGUUUGUUCUGUGACCAGUGAACAGGAGGAUUUGUGUGCUUUCUUCAGGCAGAUGGGGGAGGAGAAAGUACAUAGAAUUACCUGUUUCACCAUAAACUAAGGAGUAGGAAAACGGCAGAGAAAGGAAGAGACAGGAGCAAAGGAAGAGAAUGAGAACCGAGUCCUUAAGUUCCACAAGACAACAACAAAGAAGCCUCUCCAGGUCUAGAAGGCUGUGGGUACCUGGGAAGCACUGAGGAGCUUCCUUUGGAUUUUUAUAGCAAUAUCAACAUCUUGUCCUCUUGUGAACUUUUCAUGAGAAAAACUCUCUAGUUUAUUUUCUUUGUAUAAACACACAAAGAUAGAAUAUAGCCUUUUGCUCUGGUUCUCCUCUCUGGAGGGCUGCAGAAUUUGGAAUGAACCUGGGAAAUGCAAAUAUUAAUUUAAUACCCUUCCUGCCUACCAUGCAAGAUCACACUGGUGAUCACUGGUAUUUCCUGCUCUCUUGUUUUUCCUGAAGACGAUGAACAUGGAUAUUAUGUUUUCCAGCUGCCUAUUGUAGACCGGUUUCCUUCUUCUGACACAGUGAAACGGAAGCCCCAGGCUGACAUAAAGGGACCCCAGAAUCAAUAUAACCUGGACCACUGAGUCACUGCAGGGAGGAAACAUCCUCCAAGAGAUUCUCACACCCACAGCAGACUUUGGGUGACACUCUCAUGAAUCCAUUCAUGUCACUGUUGCAGGAGUGAGCUCUUGAUGCAAAGGAUGGGUCCAGCUGCCCUCCCUAUGCCUGCCUGCCCCUCUUCUAAGUUAGGGUGCCACACAAAGGUCUCUCUAGACAUCACUGCCAUGCUCUUGGACUCUCAAAUAAACAUCUUUUGUUCAUGAUUUACCUGGUGGCAUUCUAUAGCAGCAGAAAGAAGACAAAGACAGUCUCCUUGCCUGGAACACAGAGUGGCCAAAAAUGUUUCUUAAAAAAAAAAAUUCAGCUUUAGGAACAGUUUCAUUUAGUAAAAGCAAACCACAGGUUACCUUCUUAGCAGCAGUCACAGUUAGGGGCCAGCAAGAGCCACACCUACAGCCACAGGGUGGACAGCUGGGGAAGAUGUGCUGUGGGUAUGUUCAAAUGGAUCAGUACAAAUCUCAUCCAUGAUGAGGCUGUGAGAAUUGCAGAUCCAAAGUCUCUGGGAUCCACAGAAGGGAGAGAUUUCAUCCUUUGAAUAUCGACUUGCUCCUGCCCAGCCACUGUAACAUCUCCUAAGGACGACAGCCAGGUAUUUCUCACAAGGGCUAAUGAAUCACUCCAUUUAGCUGUGACAACAGUAAGGCAAAGAAAUAUCUUCAAGGGCCCAGAUGUUAUUUUUGCAGCCCUGUCCCGGGGAUAGAAUGUGCUCAGAAGUUAUGACAAAUUAGCUGCUUGUGGCAAAUCUACAUGAGCCCUUUUGUAAAAAUGGAAGUCUGAGCCUGAGUUAAUGGGUUAUUAUUGGCAAGGGAAACAAAGUUGGGCAGGGAGAGUAGAGCCCGGUGAGGAGGAACUUUGAAGAUCAGCAGAAGAGUUCAGAUUUGGGUCCGGAAGCUGGGGAGCAGCAACUGUUCACAGGGCCUGGGUUGAACAUCCUUUCAUCACAGGCCAUGGCACACUUGAGCAGGCUGCAGUCAUUGUACCUGCAAAGGCUGAGGCCACAGUUGCUGAAUGAUGUAUAGAACAGUGGGAGGGUAGGAAGGAAGGAAGGAAGACAGCAGUAAUUAAAGAGCAAAAUGAAGCCUGGGUGUGAGGUAAACACAAUGCUAUCAUAUGUUUUAGUGGAGAUCAUUUUCGUCCCAUCAAUAUGUUUCCCAGAAGAGUGUAUCCAUUCAUUCCAUGCCACCGUAUUUAAGCUCCAGGGUAACCAAGUGAUGCUGGCAAUGGCUGGGCUGAAUUCUCUGUGCCUUAAGGUCAGAGAGCUUAGGAAGCAGAGCCCUGUCAUGGUGGAAGCAUAGGACCCUGUGUCUAGAUGGUUCUGCUCCCAAGAGCCUCCCUCCAAAGACCUUAAGUCCCAAGUCCCCUGUGCUUAUGUGCGGAGACCCGAGGAGACCAGGUGGCCUCACCACGGAGGAGUCUUCCAGACCCAGGAGGGUAUUGGCCUGCUGUAGUUCUUGGGUGUCACUCUUCUCCCCAUUAAUGAGACUCAGCGGGUUUUUUUUUUCAGUACUAUGGAUUGAACCCAGGGCCUUCACACAGUGUCCUUUUU